AACGAACGCUGGCGGCAUGCCUAAUACAUGCAAGUCGAACGAGAUCUUCGGAUCUAGUGGCGCACGGGUGCGUAACGCGUGGGAAUCUGCCCUUGGGUUCGGAAUAACAGCGAGAAACUGCUGCUAAUACCGGAUGAUGACGUAAGUCCAAAGAUUUAUCGACCCAGGGAUGAGCCCGCGUAGGAUUAGGUAGUUGGUGGGGUAAAGGCCUACCAAGCCUACGAUCCUUAGCCGGUCUGAGAGGAUGAUCAGCCACACUGGGACUGAGACACGGCCGAGACUCCUACGGGAGGCAGCAGUAGGGAAUAGUGGACCAUGGGGGCAACCCUGAUCCAGCAAUGCCGCGUGAGUGAUGAAGGCCUUAGGGUUGUAAAGCUCUUUUACCCGGGAUGAUAAUGACAGUACCGGGAGAAUAAGCCCCGGCUAACUCCGUGCCAGCCGCCGCCGUAA
rnacentral:rRNA from 1 species